rnacentral:sRNA from 1 species
AUUUUCUCUCAUUAUAAGAUGCCCUCCAUCCUCUGUAGAACUAGAUAGUUACUAACUCAUUAAUGGCGCUUAAUCUGCUUACAGCCUGGAGAAAUGAGCCAGGAGGUCUUGCCAUUUCAAAUAGGAACAACCCCGCUCCUCCAGGGUUUCAGAAGAGCCACUGUUGACGGCACGGCAGAGCAAGAUGGCAGGGUUGAGUGUGCAGCGGCUUUUCUCCGGGGUAGUGAGGCUCUCCAAGACUGGGGUAUGGGAGAAAGAACAGGAGUCAGGGCUACCUGAAUGUGAUCCUGGCUCUUCUGCUUGACUUACUGGGUGAUAUUGGGCUACAACUGAGCCUCACUUUGCUCCUGUGUAAAGUGGGGCAACAGCAUCUACCACAGAGGGUUGAAGAUUCACGGAGAUCAUGCUAAGACAGUUUGUUCCAAACUCAAAGGAAAUCAUUUGCAAACAACAGAAAAGGUCAGAAACCGUAUACCUGGCCAAGAGAGAUCCCUUUUAUGCUUUGUUUAAUGUUUCAUGUUGUAUUUUGGGUUUUCCCAUUUACUGGAUUCUGAGCUCCAAAACAGGAAUUACAUUUUAUGUUUUCUUAUUUUAAAAGCAAUAAUAAUAGCUAGUACUUAUUGAGUGCCUACUGCUUACCACGUUCAAGGCUUUACAUGAUUAUCUUGUUUGUUCCUCACAACCACUCUGAAGAUGGGCUUUGUUAUUCCCAUUUUAUAGGUGAGGAAAAUAAGGCUUUAAAGCAUUAAAUAAUUUCCCCAAGAUUAUCCAGCUAGUAAGUGACAAAGCAGGAAACCAAACCAAGGACCUUUUUCUCUAGGGGCUGAGAACUUUACUGCUAAGCCAUAUUGCUUGGGUUAUGUCUUCCUCUUAGACUUUCAAAGUAAUCUGGGAAGCUGAAGUGACACGUUCUUUCCUUGCUCAAUCCUGCAAGCUUUUAAGAAGUCUUUUACCUUUUUUAGAUGUGCAACACCAUAGUUUCUCUAUAAUGAUCAUAGAAUUCCAAUGGAAUGACCGAUAAAAAUUUUCCCCCUUGUCCUCAGAGUAUUUUUUUUAAUUUAUUGAUGCAAACACUUAUUUAGCAUUGUCAUUGUUAUAGACCCCAUUAUAGGCAUUAGUAAAACAGAGGUAAGACAGGCAUUCAAACUAUAGAGGGUGAGUAAAUUGUGGUAUGGCGUUUUCUUUAUGUGAGAGAGCUAGGAACCGAGUGCUGUGGGGACAGGAGCUGGAGCAGUGAGUGCUGCCUGGGACAGUGGGCAGUGGUGACAGAGGAGGAAAACUGAAUCCGGCAGUCAGGAUGGAGUUACAGUGUACCGAGUGGACAAGAGCGGGAGAGGAGUGCUCAGGUGAAGGGAACACCAAAUCACUUGCAAGAGCUUAUGUGGGCGUGGGUCAGUGGUGUGUGUAGGGUUCUAAUUCAGGCACCCCAGCUGAGUAAUAUCAGGGUGUGGAAAUAGGUGGAGUGAUUCAAAUAACACCUUACAUGUUUUCUUUCUUUAGAAACUAAUUUUCAUUCUGUCGUGAUUAUACAUACUCCUUUUUCCUUCAUCCAGGAAGUGCAUGAAGACCCAGGGCAGGCCACCUUGAGCACCACACACCCUGAGGGGCCAGGGCCUGCCACCUCGGCUCCUGAGCCAGCUACAGCAGCCAGCAGCCAAGCCGAGAAAUCCAUUCCCAGCAAGAGUCUGCUUGACUGGCUAAGGCAGCAGGCUGACUACUCCUUAGAAGUUCCUGGCUUUGGGGCAAAUUUUUCAGACAAACCAAAGCAGAGGAGGCCACGCUGUAAAGAACCUGGAAAAUUAGAUGUCAGCUCCCUGAGUGGGGAAGAGAGAGUUCCUGCCAUCCCCAAGGAGCCAGGACUGAGGGGGUUUCUUCCAGAAAACAAGUUCAAUCACACCCUGGCUGAGCCUAUUCUUCGAGAUACGGGCCCCCGCAGGAGGGGGAGGCGGCCUCGGAGCGAACUCCUGAAGGCUCCUUCCAUUGUGGCAGACUCUCCCUCUGGAAUGGGGCCACUGUUCAUGAAUGGACUGAUUGCUGGGAUGGACCUGGUAGGACUUCAGAACAUGAGAAAUAUGCCAGGCAUCCCCCUCACCGGGCUGGUGGGGUUUCCAGCUGGCUUUGCCACGAUGCCAACGGGUGAAGAGGUCAAAAGUACCCUGAGCAUGCUGCCCAUGAUGCUGCCAGGCAUGGCUGCUGUGCCCCAGAUGUUUGGUGUUGGGGGACUCCUCAGUCCACCCAUGGCAACCACCUGCACUUCCACUGCUCCGGCGUCUCUAUCGAGCACAACGAAAAGUGGUACGGCAGUGACUGAAAAGACUGCGGAAGACAAGCCGAGUAGCCAUGAUGUGAAAACAGACACUUUAGCUGAGGACAAGCCUGGUCCAGGUCCAUUUUCUGAUCAGUCUGAACCUGCAAUAACUACUAGUAGUCCUGUGGCUUUUAACCCAUUUCUCAUCCCAGGAGUAUCUCCUGGACUCAUUUACCCAUCCAUGUUCCUCUCCCCUGGUAUGGGCAUGGCUCUGCCAGCCAUGCAGCAGGCCAGACACUCGGAAAUAGUAGGUCUGGAGAGCCAGAAGAGGAAGAAGAAGAAGACAAAGGGGGACAACCCCAACUCCCACCCAGAGCCUGCUCCCAGCUGUGAAAGGGAGCCCUGCGGUGAUGAGAACUGUGCCGAACCCAGUGCCCCUUUGCCCGCAGAGAGAGAACAUGGGGCACAGGCUGGGGAGGGGGCACUCAAAGACUCCAACAACGACACCAAUUAGAACUUUUUUCAUUUAAGAAAUUAUUGUGACUUGUAAGUUUCUUAUCCCAUAAAGGUUUGUUACUUCCCUC